ensembl:lncRNA
NNNNNNNNNNNNNNNAGUAAAAAAAAAAAAAAGCUAUAAAAUUUUUAUUUUAAUAUAUAAUAUUUACUAUAAUUUGCUAUUUCAGUGGCACAUAUAUACAAAUGUGAUAAUGAUGGUGCUUUUUUUUUUUUUUUUUUUAAAUAUUUUUUUUUUUUAUUUUUUCGGGGAAUUCAAUUUUUUUAAAAAAAAAAAGAUAUAUAUUUUUCUGUACAUAUUACGUACGAUAUGUAUAAAUAGUCGCUUAAUAAUGAGAACAUUUGAUUAAGUAAAAAAAAAAAAAAAAAAAAUAAAUAAAAAUAAUAAUAAUAACAAUAAUAAUAACGAUUCUUACUAUUUAAACGGGAUGGCAUUAAAUAAACGCAUUAAACGUCAAAAGAACGAUAAAACAUGCUACAUCCCAUUGUAUGUUGACUGGAUUGGAGAUAUUUUUAACUCAGACGUUGCAUCCAAGUGGAAAUUUGAAAAUAUACAAAUAAAUAAUAAAAAACAGCUAAAGCGCAAAUUAGGUGAAACAAAUAUAAGGUUUGAAGAAGAAAAUAAAAACAAACAUAACAAAAGUUUUGUUCAUACUGAAGUGAAAAAAAAACUGAAUAAUGUGAUUUACGAUAAAAAAAAAAACGUAGAUUCACUUUAUAACAGUAAUAAUAAUAACAUAGAAAAAUAUAGUAAUUAUUUAGAAAACAUAAAUGAUGUAAAUUGGGGAUGCUUCAACGAAGAUGAAAUCAAAACUGAAAAUAAAAUCAGUUCUCCGAACGAUGUUUCUAAUAAAAGUACAUUUAAAGUUUAUAGUAGUAAUAAUAAAGGAUUGUAUAGCAAAUGUAAAGAAAUUGAUCCAAGAGAAAAUAUUAAUUUUAUAAAAACAAAUGUAUUAAGAAAUAACAACCCACCUUCUUGUAAUAUAUUUGAAAUGGGAAGUGGUGUGGGUUACUAUGAGUUUAAGAACCAUGAAGAGAAAGAUAAUGACAGUAGACAUCGUAGUAAUGAUAACAAUACUGUAUCAUAUUAUAAUAAAGAAGUAGUAGAAAAAAAACAUGUGGGUAAGUUUAAAGAAAGAACAGCACAUUUUAACUACAAUAGCAGCGUACCGACAAAUAUAUAUGAUUUUAAUAUUGUUGGUUGUGAUAUUUUAGGAAAUUUUACUUUUUAUUUUUUAAAUGAAAAAAACUAUGAUAACGAUAAUGAUAAUAAAUAUGACGAAGAUGAUGAAGAUAGUGAAGUUGAAAAUUGCCAUUCGGGACAUGUUCUAUUUAAUUAUAAUAGCUUUGAAGAAAAUAUAAAUGCAAAUAGGAAUGCAGAUGAAGUGUUUUUUAAUAAUUUUUCAAAAGAGAAAGAUAGAAAUGAAAUAAAAAUGAACAGUGUGUCGAAUUUAACAAAAAAUAAAAACGUAAUGGAUAACACAACGAAUGGGGCUGUAAUGGAUAAUAACCACAUAAAUACAGCUACAUGUGUUAUGAACAUGAUUAAUAAUAAUAAAGAAAAAAUGAAUGUUACUUUUGAUAACCCUCCAAACGAAAUAAUUAACAAUGAUAAAAAUGAAAAAGAAAAAGAAAAAGAAAAAGAAAAAGAAAAAUUAAAUAGUUGUAAAGAUAAUGAUACAAAUUUAAAAAAUAGUGAAAAGACCAGUAAACGACUUGGUAGUAAUAGUGGUAGUUGUAAUAGUAAUAGUAUAAGUGGUAGUAGCUGUAAUAAUAACAUUAGUAGUAAUGAUCGUGCAAACAGCUUUUCUUUUUGGAAUGUCGAGACAGAAAGUUAUACAACUAAGCCACUAUAUGCUCAACAAUUAAAUAAAACACAUUAUACAUUAUUAGAUGAAUCAGAAGAAAUGAUUAGAUGUUAUUUAGCACAACAAUACCCAAUAAAACUUGUACCAAGACAUUUAAUUUAUAAUGUUAGUCAGGUAGUUUCAAGGAUGUUUUUUGACCCUCUGUACAGGAAGCAAAUACUUUAUCCCUAAUAAUUUUUUAUACUUCCUUUAGUCUUAUAAGUGAUGUCGCAUGCUCAUAUGCAUGUGCAUUUAUGCAUAUAUAUAUAUUUAAUUUGAUUAAAAAAAGUAAUUUUAUUAUUUAUUUUUUUUUUUUUUUGUUUUUUUUUGUACUUAAUAACAUUAUAUAUAUAUAUAUAUAUAUAUAUUUCUAUUUACUAAUUGUUUGUUUGAUUUUUAUUUCCAUCUUUGUUUGUUUCUUUUUUUUUUUUUCUUUUUUUAAGUGUGUAAAUUGGUUUAACAAUUUUUAAAAAGAACUAGCUAAAACGUAUCAUCUACCAUAUUACAAUAUUAAUGUUGUUAUAUUAUUAAUGUGUUUUUUUUUUUUUU